GAACGCUGGCGGCGUGCCUAACACAUGCAAGUCGAACGAUGAUUGAAGAGCUUGCUCUUCAUGAUUAGUGGCGCACGGGUGAGUAUACCAUAGAUAAUGUACCCCCAUAGUUUGGGAUAGCCACUGGAAACGGUGAUUAAUACCAGAUACUCCUUCUUGUCACAGGGCAAGUCGGGAAAGUUUUUUCGCUAAGGGAUCAGUCUAUGUCCUAUCAGCUUGUUGGUGAGGUAAUGGCUCACCAAGGCUAUGACGGGUAUCUGGUUUGAGAGGAUGAUCAGACACACUGGAACUGAGACACGGUCCAGACUCCUACGGGAGGCAGCAGUGAGGAAUAUUGCACAAUGGAGGAAACUCUGAUGCAGCAACGCCGCGUGGAGGAUGACGCAUUUCGGUGUGUAAACUCCUUUUAAGAGGGAAGAUUAUGACGUACCUCUUGAAUAAGCACCGGGCUAACUCCGUGCCCACAA
rnacentral:rRNA from 1 species